rnacentral:lncRNA from 1 species
ACCGUAAGAGGGGAGUGGGGGGGGGGGAGAUGGUAAACAAUUCCCAGAAAAGGAAGAAGGCUUCGCAGACAGAAACAAUCAGUGUCCACUUCUAGGGACGAGUGUUCACGUUACCAGCCAACCGCUCUGUACCAAGUGUCUGUUCUGCUCAAUGAAUUCAUCUGAGGUCAAGAUCCUGGGAAGGGUGCCAGUGAGAUUCCUCAGCAGAAACAAAGCAUCCAGAACCAAUUAUUACUAAUUUGAGUUGAGUAAAAUAUCAUUCUAACAAUAACAAAAGAACAACCCAAUUUAAAAAAUGGACAAAAGGCUUAAAGACAAUUCUCCAAAGAAUCUAUACAAAUGAAGACUGAACCGAUGAAAAUGUGUUCCACCUCACUAAUAAUGAGGCAGCAAAGACCGAUUCGCACCAAUUUGAACAGGUUUCAUUUAAGAGAAGGAGAAGAGAAGGAAGACGAGAAAGGACAAAGCAGGUAUAAGGGAAUAGAGAACUGAGAACUGGAUCCCUUGUGUGUUGCUGAUGAGACUGUAAGACAAUGCAGCUGCUGUAGGGAGCAGUUUGGCAGGUCUUCAAAGCCUUAAACAUAGAACUGCUAUAAGAUCCCUCCGUUUCACCUCUGGCUGUAUACUUAAGGGAACCAAAAGCCCAGACUCCAACAGUUAACCCAGCCUCACUGUCAAAUGAUGUUGACAUCUGAGUGCCCAUCAGUCGCUGUAGACAAGCACAGCAUGGUAAGGCCGUUGUACACAGCAAUACCAAUGGACUUUAAAGACAUCACGUGAAGAGAAAUAAGCCCGUUGCAAAUCGUGGACAAAUGACGUGUAGUUUGUAGAAGCUGUCUUGAAGAGUCAGAUUCCUAGAAAAUAGAAUGGUGGCCGCCAAGAGCUGGAGGCAGGGGAGAGUGUUGCGUUUGUAUUCAUUUUGUGUGAGUGCAUGUGUGUAUUUGGGUGGAGAGGUUGCACGGUGUUGGUAUCUCCUUUUCUACUUGUAUUCAUCUCAGCUGACCACAGGCAGGACUGUCACUGUGAUGUCACUUCCAGGACAGGGUUGGUCGUCGUAUCUUGUUCACUCCUAGCAGCGGCACGAUUAUGGACGUCUCCCAGCAUCUUACCCUGAAGAGUCAUUUUCAAGGCUAUGA